rnacentral:rRNA from 1 species
CCUACGGUGUGCAGCAGUCGAGAAUCAUUCACAAUGGGGGAAACCCUGAUGGUGCGACGCCGCGUGGGGGAAUGAAGGUCUUCGGAUUGUAAACCCCUGUCAUGUGGGAGCAAAUUAAAAAGAUAGUACCACAAGAGGAAGAGACGGCUAACUCUGUGCCAGCAGCCGCGGUAAUACAGAGGUCUCAAGCGUUGUUCGGAAUCACUGGGCGUAAGGCGUGCGUAGGCUGUUUCGUAAGUCGUGUGUGAAAGGCGCGGGCUCAACCCGCGGACGGCACAUGAUACUGCGAGACUAGAGUAAUGGAGGGGGAACCGGAAUUCUCGGUGUAGCAGGGAAAUGCGUAGAUAUCGAGAGGAACACUCGUGGCGAAGGCGGGUUCCUGGACAUUAACUGACGCUGAGGCAUGAAGGCCAGGGUAGCAAACAGGAUUAGAUACCCGAGUAGUC